UACAGAGGGUGCGAGCGUUAAUCGGAAUUACUGGGCGUAAAGGGUGCGUAGGUGGUUUUGUAAGUUAGAUGUGAAAUUCCUGGGCUUAACCUGGGGACUGCGUCUGAUACUGCGAAGCUAGAGUACUGUAGAGGGAAGUGGAAUUUCCGGUGUAGCAGUGAAAUGCGUAGAUAUCGGAAGGAACAUCAGUGGCGAAGGCGACUUCCUGGACAGAUACUGACACUGAGGCACGAAAAGCGUGGGGGAGCAAACAGG
rnacentral:rRNA from 1 species